CUCGGAUCAGGUAGGGAAACCCGCUGAACUUAAGCAUAUCAAUAAGCGGAGGAAAAGAAACCAACCGGGAUUGCCUCAGUAACGGCGAGUGAAGCGGCAAGAGCUCAAAUUUGAAAGCUGGCUCCUUCGGGGUCCGCAUUGUAAUUUGCAGAGGAUGCUUUCGGGUGCGGCCCCUGUCUAAGUGCCCUGGAACGGGCCGUCAGAGAGGGUGAGAAUCCCGUUCUGGGAUGGGGUUGUCCGCGGCCCGUGUGAAGCUCCUUUCGACGAGUCGAGUUUGUUUUGGG
rnacentral:rRNA from 1 species